UACGUAGGGAGCAAGCGUUGUCCGGAAUCAUUGGGCGUAAAGCGCGCGUAGGUGGCCAUGUAAGUCCGUUGUGAAAGUCAAAGGCUCAACCUUUGAAAGCCGAUGGAUACUGCAUGGCUAGAGUACGGAAGAGGCGAGUGGAAUUCCUGGUGUAGCGGUGGAAUGCGCAGAUAUCGGGAGGAACACCAAUUGCGAAGGCAGCUUGCUGGGACGUCACU
rnacentral:rRNA from 1 species